UCUCAUCCGCCCCCAACUCCAUGCUUUCUCUCUCCCAGGCGAUUUCCAGAUCUAGGGUUUCAAUAACCCUGAAUCGUUCAUUUUCUCUCAAUCCGACAGAAGAUCCAGUGGGGUUGACCUCAGCUAAAUGAAGUAUAUGACUGUAGCAAGCCCCAUUUAAACUUUUGCUUCAGAUUGUGACUUUGGGUUCAAAGUUGAUUUUGUUGGUUGCCCCUUUUCUUUAUGCUUAGGAAUCUUGAACCCUAACAACGAGUAUGCAUCCCUGAAUCCCAAAGAAGGUAGCUUUCACGGAUGGAAAUUGUAUGGUUUUGUGAAGCUCAGAUUUUUGCAGAUUCAACAGUUAAGUCACAGGUCAACUGAGGCGUUUUCCACUUUAGCCAAAGUAAACAAGUCUAUACCUUAAGAUGAAGCUAUUUGGGCCAUUAAAGUAACAACUAAUCAGUCUUUGUUUAUUUGUGAUAUUAAACAGGCCUGAGUUUGUUUAAAAACUGUUUCCAUAUACUGUUUGUUCAAAUGUGCUUUUUCAUUGGUGUUUACCUAAAACAGAUAAACAUGAUGUUUCAAACUAGAUGGUGAGAUCUUUGUCAUGAUCCCCAUGAUUCAAUGAGUGUUAGAAGCAAAAAUGAUGGGGAAAGUAGUUUUACAGUAGAGCGAUCUUUAAAUACCAACACUCCAUGUGCUGAGUUUUCUGAUGCUUGGGAAGGGAAUAAUGUUUCUUUCUAAUUAUGUUUAAAUAUAGUUAAAGGUGAAAAUGGGUAGGUUGGGUAAUGUCUCUUAUAUAUAUAUUUUUUAAAUUUUUUAAUCUUUAUUUUAUUUAGAACCAAAACGGUCUUGAUGCUAAUAGUUUUAUGUGGGUUUAUAAGAGCCAUUGCUGCUUUAUCUUUAACAACAGUUGCCUGGUUGUGUCAAAAUGGCUUUGGGUUGAAACACGCCUUUUUAUAGUACGGGUGGGUUGUGUUGGGUUGGGUUAACCCACAAACUCUUUUCUGUCCAUGCUUCACUUUUUGAUAAAUCAUGUUUAUUAUGAUUGCCAAAAUGUAUAUGAAAUUGCGAAUCUUAUACUCUUGGAGAUUGUAUGCCUUAAAUUGUUAUUUAUGAUUGCCAAAAUGUAAAUGAAUCUUAAGUUGUUGCAUGUUGGAGAUGUAUGCCUUACGUUGUUAUUAUUCUUCAGAAUUUGCUGUAAUUUAUGUCCGUUUGUUUUUUAUUCUUCAAAAAAGCCAUAAUUAUGUUUUCCUCCGGGUUCUGUAGAUACGGGCGUGAGUUGUGAGGGGACGGGAGUUGUGAGAGGACGGGAUGACGGUAGUAGGCAUCACUCAGGAGCACAAUUCUGAAAGCAGAUGUCUAUUGUCAUGUUAAAGAGGCCAAGCAAAAUCUAUCAAGUUACUUCUGCACAUAAAGCGCAAUGAGGGAGACGCCAAGGUACAGUCAUUGGUUUUAAGUGAACAUGGCCUUUUGUUUCCAAGUUGAUAGGCAAAUCAUUAGAACCAGCAGCCGUGAGCAAUAGCGCCACCACCUUCAAUAAACGAUAUUCGUUUGGAAUAACGGUUGUGAUUCCAUCAUAGCAACCCAGCACCCGAUAAAUGAUAUCAGUUUGUGUUGCUGAUGUAACCUUUGUCCUCUCUCCUGCUGAACCCAGAGAUUAUCACAAACCUAGGCAGCUCAAAAGUUGGAAAUGGUGAUCAACCGGUGUUAAUUGAUUAUGAACGUCUCAAAGUAUAGAUACGAUGUUGUGGUUAUGUUUUAUGUUUCUGAAAUGGAGGGUGAAAGAUUAGGUUUAAAAAACUUAUCGAGUUUCCAUUGGCAAUCUCAUGUACUUAAUUUUCCUAUUAAUGAAAUUUGGUUUU
rnacentral:lncRNA from 1 species